rnacentral:rRNA from 1 species
AAGGGCACCACAAGAACGCGUGGAGCAUGUGGCUUAAUUUGACUCAACGCGGGAAAUCUUACCGGGUCCGGACACACUGAGGAUUGACAGGCAAUAUUACGACUCAUUCUCUUCUGAGUUGCGUCGUAUGUUAAAUAUGCUAGUCCUUUCAUGAUUAUGUGAUAGGUGGUGCAUGGCCGUUCUUAGUUCGUGGAGUGAUCUGUCUGCUUAAUUGCGUUUCACUAAGGAACUAUAUUACUAUGCAUGUUGUCAGCGCAUUGACCCCUCGUUGGUUCACAUACCUUUCACGGUUGUAACCAGUGUUAGCGUGCGUCUUUGAUUCUCGUCUGGCUCAUGCGAUUAGUUCCUGAAAGCAACGAACGUGACCGCAACCUCUUGUUGCCUUCAUUCUACAAUAUGCGUAUUACAAACUCUUCUGAGUCCUUGUAUCGCUAUACGGAGGCUUUCUAAACUAGAGGGACCGCUGUUAUCUUCUUAAACCAGAGGAAGGUUGCGGCAAUAACAGGUCUGUGAUGCCCUUAGAUGUUCCGGGCUGCACACGUGCUACAAUGAUUAUUGCAGUGAGCAUCUCAUUUACUUAAUACAUCGCAAGCGCGAGUCCGUUUGUUCUUGUGUUAUCAGUUCAUGCUGGUGCACAAGCUUCAAUCGAGUAUCUCUGCGCGCGAUAAAGCCUACUUUGAAAGUUUAGUGGGUAAUCAAUUAGAAGUAAUGAUUUCCUAAAUUUAUCGCACCUAUAUAUGUGGCGUCUUUACCCAGCCAGCCUUUUGUGCUGGAUUCCGUGUGUAUUGACGAUUGAUUUCAAUAUCAAUUGCCUAAUCUUACGGUACCACAUGUGCAAUUGUCAAUUCAUGGUGGGGACAGACCAUUGUUAAUUGUUGGUCUCGGUCUUAACUAGGAAUGCCUUGUACGGGUCUUUGGUUCAACAGACCACCCGGAAUACGUCCCUGCCCUUUGUACACACCGCCCGUCGCUCUUACCGAUGGACUUCUCUGUGAGUUUCAGGGACUGGGUCAAUCUUGUCUUGUUACUAGAUCAGACCUAUGGAAACUGAAACGAACAGUGUGGUCUAAAGGAAAGAGAAGUCGUAACAAGGCAUCGGUAGGUGAACCUGCAGAAGGAUCA